rnacentral:rRNA from 1 species
AGCAGCCGCGGUAAUUCCAGCUCCAAUAGCGUAUAUUAAAGUUGUUGCAGUUAAAAAGCUCGUAGUUGAAUUUCGGGGUUAGCAGGUCGGUCGUGCCAUCGGUAUGAACUGGUCUCGCUGAUCCCUCCCUCUUGACGAACUGUGAUGCCAUUAAUUUGGUGUCGCAGGGAAUCAGGACUGUUACUUUGAAAAAUUAGAGUGUUUAAAGCAGGCUCACGCUUGAAUACAUUAGCAUGGAAUAAUGAAAUAGGACGUUUGAUCCUAUUUUGUUGGUUUCUAGGAUUGACGUAAUGAUUAAUAGGGAUAGUUGGGGGCAUUAGUAUUCAAUUGUCAGAGGUGAAAUUCUUGGAUUUAUUGAAGACUAACUACUGCGAAAGCAUUUGUCAAGGAUGUUUUCAUUAAUCAAGAACGAAAGUUAGGGGAUCGAAGACGAUCAGAUACCGUCGUAGUCUUAACCAUAAACUAUGCCGACUAGGGAUCGGAUGAUGUUAAUUUUUAAUGACUCU